rnacentral:piRNA from 1 species
UCUGUUACAUCGGAUGUUGUAGGUGUGC